rnacentral:rRNA from 1 species
GUUCUGGUGUGUUGCUGCCGUGCGUGGGUAUUAGGUCGAGGCCGUCUUUCGAGUGUGUAUGAUAAGCCUUUUUGUUGUAAAGUUCUUUUUGUAGGGAGGAAGGGGUUGAGGUUAAUAACCUUAUUAAUUGACGUUACCCGCGGAAGAACCACCGGCUAACUCCGUGCCAGCUGCUACGGUAAUAACAAAUUUACCU